UACAGAGGGUGCAAGCGUUGUUCGGAAUUAUUGGGCGUAAAGGGCGCGUAGGCGGUGCCACAAGUCACUUGUGAAAUCUCCGGGCUUAACUCGGAACUGCCAAGUGAAACUGUCAUGCUAGAGUGCAGAAGGGGCAAUCGGAAUUCUUGGUGUAGCGGUGAAAUGCGUAGAUAUCGGAAGGAACACCAGUGGCGAAAGCGGCUUCCUGGUCCAGCACCGACGUUCAGGCACGAAGGCGUGGGGAGCAAACAGG
rnacentral:rRNA from 1 species